rnacentral:tRNA from 1 species
AUCCUGGUGGUCUAGUGGUUAAGAUUUGGCACUCUUGCUGCCGUGGCCUGGGUUCAUUUCCUGGUCAGGGAA